rnacentral:rRNA from 1 species
GAUGAACGCUAGCGGCAGGCCUAAUACAUGCAAGUCGAACGGUGUCUUCGGACAUAGUGGCGCACGGGUGCGUAACACGUAUGCAACCUACCUUACAUUGGGGGAUAGCCUUUCGAAAGGGGGAUUAAUACCGCAUAAGACAGUAGCUGGGCAUCCAGCAGCUGUUAAAGAUUUAUCGAUGUAAGCUGGGCAUGCGUCCAAUUAGCUAGUUGGUGAGGUAACGGCUCACCAAGGCAAUGAUUGGUAGGGGAACUGAGAGGUCAAUCCCCCACACUGGCACUGAGAUACGGGCCAGACUCCUACGGGAGGCAGCAGUAGGGAAUAUUGGGCAAUGGACGCAAGUCUGACCCAGCCAUGCCGCGUGCAGGAUGAAGGCGUUAUGCGUUGUAAACUGCUUUUAUACAGGAAGAAACGACUCUUGCGAGAGGCAUUGGCGGUACUGUAUGAAUAAGCACCGGCUAACUCCGUGCCAGCCGCCGCGGUAACAC